AUUGAACGCUGGCGGCAGGCUUAACACAUGCAAGUCGAGCGGGGUGAUGGUGCUUGCACUAUCACUUAGCGGCGGACGGGUGAGUAAUGCUUAGGAAUCUGCCUAUUAGUGGGGACAACGUCUCGAAAGGGAUGCUAAUACCGCAUACGUCCUACGGGAGAAAGCAGGGGAUCACUUGUGACCUUGCGCUAAUAGAUGAGCCUAAGUCGGAUUAGCUAGUUGGUGGGGUAAAGGCCUACCAAGGCGACGAUCUGUAGCGGGUCUGAGAGGAUGAUCCGCCAAACUGGGACUGAGACACGGCCCAGACUCCUACGGGAGGCAGCAGUGGGGAAUAUUGGACAAUGGGGGGAACCCUGAUCCAGCCAUGCCGCGUGUGUGAAGAAGGCCUUAUGGUUGUAAAGCACUUUAAGCGAGGAGGAGGCUCCUUUGGUUAAUACCCAAGAUGAGUGGACGUUACUCGCAGAAUAAGCACCGGCUAACUCUGUGCCAGCAGCCGCGGUAA
rnacentral:rRNA from 1 species